UACGUAGGUGGCAAGCGUUGUCCGGAUUUAUUGGGCUUAAAGGGUGCGUAGGCGGCCCUGUAAGUCAGUGCUGAAAUCUCCCAGCUUAACUGGGAGGGUGGCAUUGAUACUGCGGGGCUUGAGUACAGAUGGGGUAGGCGGAAUUGACGGUGUAGCGGUGAAAUGCUUAGAUAUCGUCAAGAACACCUAUAGCGAAGGCAGCUUACUAGGCUGUAACUGACGCUGAGGCGCGAAAGUGUGGGGAUCAAACAGG
rnacentral:rRNA from 1 species